rnacentral:rRNA from 1 species
AGUCAACCUACCCUAUGGACGGGAAUAAUCUCGGAAAACUGAGGAUAAUUCCAGAUAGAACACUAUGCCUGGAACGGUUUGUGUUCCAAAUGAUUUAUCGCCGUAGGAUGGGACUGCGUCCUAUCAGUUUGUUGGUGAGGUAAUGGCCCACCAAGACUAUUACAGGUACGGGCUCUGAGAGGAGUAGCCCGGAGAUGGGUACUGAGACACGGACCCAGGCCCUAUGGGGCGCAGCAGGCGAGAAAACUUUGCAAUGUGCGAAAGCACGACAAGGUUAAUCCGAGUGGUUCCUGCUAAAGGAACCUUUUGACGGUCCUAAAAGCACCGUUGAAUAAGGGGUGGGCAAGUUCUGGUGUCAGCCGCCGCGGUAAAACCAGCACCUCAAGUGGUCAGGAUGAUUAUUGGGCCUAAAGCAUCCGUAGCCGGCUCUGUGAGUUUUCGGUUAAAUCUGUGCGCUCAACGUACAGGCUGCCGGGAAUACUGCAGAGCUAGGGAGUGGGAGAGGUAGACGGUACUUGGUAGGAAGGGGUAAAAUCCUUUGAUCUAUUGAUGACCACCUGUGGCGAAGGCGGUCUACCAGAACACGUCCGACGGUGAGGGAUGAAAGCUGGGGGAGCAAACCGGAUUAGAUACCCGGGUAGUCCCAGCUGUAAACCAUGCAAACUCAAUGAUGCAUUGCUUGAAGCCAAUGCAGUGUU